UGAGCCUAUCAAUGAAAAGCUCAAUAAUUGGCCUCGUAAAAUCACCCUCGUACAAAGAAGUAGCACUGACGCCACCAGGUACUAUUUCAAUGCUGCAAGUCCGGGCAUCGGAGGAUGACUUUCCUGCAAAAGAGGAACUCAUUGUAAGAGAUGAAGAAACCAGUAAAGCAGGAGAUAAGAAAUUUGGCUCAACUGUUGUUAAUCCAGAAAAAACAUAUUCAACUGAUAAGGAUGAGGAUAAUCAAUCCAAGGCAGUACCUCGUAAUGUGGAAAUGACUCAAUCCAGCACUGCUAAGAAUUUUCAAGUUGCACCUAGGAUUUUUGAAGGUAAAGAUCCUUCAUACUCCACUUCACAAGGAGAAAAGGAUUCAAAUGAAAUCCCUUCUCUUCCAUGUGAUAUUGGUACUCGAGAUAUCUCCAAGAAGUUGUCUGCAUCGGCUGCUCCAUUCAAUCCUUCGCCAACUGCGACACAAAUUCCUCCUUUUCCCUUGAGUAUAGUUCUUCCUCCAGGGCCUGGUUCUGUUCCAGCUGUUGGUCUGUGGCCAAU
rnacentral:lncRNA from 1 species